rnacentral:lncRNA from 1 species
UCCCAUGUCAGCCUGUUUAUACCCAGUCAGGCCACAAAACCUUGCUGCCCUCACAGAAAAAAGAGAAUGGGCUUUAUGAAAUAAUUUCCAUGGUUAACCUGUGUUCUCACAAAUGAUGGUGCUACUUCACUCCUAAAAUAGAAUGAACACGUCUGGUACAUGCCCGUGGCUGUCAGGGACCAGCCAUGUGCUGGUAGGAACACACUUCUGCUUGUGUUAAGAGUAUGUUUAUGGUUAUGCAUUAUGGCUUUUUUCUCCCAGUUACCUCCCAAACUUGUUUAAAGCCCUUAUGAGGAAAAGUGGCUUUGCCUCUUUUAAGAGACAGUGUAUGAGAUACUGCCAAAAGAAGACACUUGCAGAAUUUCAGCAUCUUGCCUUCUGUUUGAAACUUCUGCCUGCUGCUUUCUCAGUGUCAUACUGAUGAAAUGGAAAAACCCAAGAGCAGAUUUUGUCCUGUGGAGGAGGUGGGGUAAAAUUCCUGACUGCUGUCACAGGAAAGGUUGUUAUUCUCAUUAAAU